rnacentral:rRNA from 1 species
UACAGAGGUCUCAAGCGUUGUUCGGAUUCAUUGGGCGUAAAGGGUGUGUAGGCGGCGCGGUAAGUCGGGUGUGAAAUCUCGGGGCUUAACUCCGAAACUGCAUUCGAUACUGCCGUGCUUGAGGACUGGAGAGGAGACUGGAAUUUACGGUGUAGCAGUGAAAUGCGUAGAUAUCGUAAGGAAGACCAGUGGCGAAGGCGGGUCUCUGGACAGUUCCUGACGCUGAGGUGCGAAAGCGUGGGGAGCAAACAGG